AGAGUUUGAUCCUGGCUCAGGAUGAACGCCGGCGGUGUGCCUAAUACAUGCAAGUCGUACGCACUGGCCCAACUGAUUGAUGGUGCUUGCACCUGAUUGACGUUGGAUCACCAGUGAGUGGCGGACGGGUGAGUAACACGUAGGUAACCUGCCCCGGAGCGGGGGAUAACAUUUGGAAACAGAUGCUAAUACCGCAUAACAACAAAAGCCGCAUGGCUUUUGUUUGAAAGAUGGCCUUGGCUAUCACUCUGGGAUGGACCUGCGGUGCAUUAGCUAGUUGGUAAGGUAACGACUUACCAAGGCGAUGAUGCAUAGCCGAGUUGAGAGACUGAUCGGCCACAAUGGAACUGAGACACGGUCCAUACUCCUACGGGAGGCAGCAGUAGGGAAUCUUCCACAAUGGGCGCAAGCCUGAUGGAGCAACACCGCGUGAGUGAAGAAGGGUUUCGGCUCGUAAAGCUCUGUUGUUGGAGAAGAACGUGCGUGAGAGUAACUGUUUACGCAGUGACGGUAUCCAACCAGAAAGUCACGGCUAACUACGUGCCAGCAGCCGCGGUAAUACGUAGGUGGCAAGCGUUAUCCGGAUUUAUUGGGCGUAAAGCGAGCGCAGGCGGUUGCUUAGGUCUGAUGUGAAAGCCUUCGGCUUAACCGAAGAAGUGCAUCGGAAACCGGGCGACUUGAGUGCAGAAGAGGACAGUGGAACUCCAUGUGUAGCGGUGGAAUGCGUAGAUAUAUGGAAGAACACCAGUGGCGAAGGCGGCUGUCUGGUCUGCAACUGACGCUGAGGCUCGAAAGCAUGGGUAGCGAACAGGAUUAGAUACCCUGGUAGUCCAUGCCGUAAACGAUGAGUGCUAGGUGUUGGGAGGGUUUCCGCCCUUCAGUGGGGGAGCUAACGCAUUAAGCAUUAUGCUUGGGGGAGUGGGAGGUCUAGGUCGAUAAUCAAAGGAAUUGACGGGGGCCGGCAUAAGCGGUGGAGGAUGUGGUUUAAUUUGAAGAUUCGAGAGGAUCGUUGGCAGGUCUUGACAUCUUGGGAUAACGUUAGAGAUAAGGAGUUCCCUUGGGGGACGCAAUGACAGGUGGUGCUUGGUCGUUGUCAGCUGGUGUAGGGAGAUGCUGGGUUAAGUCCAGCAACGAGCGCAACCUUUGUUUCGUAGUUGCCAGCAUUAAGUUGGGCAGUUUAGUGAGAGUGCCGGGGACAAACCGGAGGAAGGGGGGGAAGAAGUCAGAUCAUCAUGCCCGUUAUGAUGUGGGCUACACACGUGAUGCAAGGGAGGGUACAAUGAGUUGCUAGCUCGCGAGAGUAAGUUAAUUUCUUAAAGGUGUUAUCAGUUGGGACUGUAGGUUGCAAGUUGCCUACAGGAAGUUGGAAUCGUUAGUAAUUGCGGAUCAGCAUGCCGCGGUGAAUACGUUCCCGGGCGUAGUACACACCG
rnacentral:rRNA from 1 species